rnacentral:rRNA from 1 species
UACAGAGGGUGCGAGCGUUAAUCGGAAUUACUGGGCGUAAAGCGUGCGUAGACGGUUAUUUAAGUCAGGUGUGAAAGCCCCGGGCUCAACCUGGGAAUUGCAUUUGAGACUGAAUAGCUAGGGUGCGGAAGAGGGAAGCGGAAUUUCCGGUGUAGCGGUGAAAUGCGUUGAUAUCAUCAGGAACACCAGUGGCGAAAGCGGCUUACUGGGUCUCUUCUGACGCUGAGGUACGAAAGCCAGGGGAGCGAAGGGG